GAUGAACGCUGGCGGCGUGCCUAAUACAUGCAAGUCGAGCGAAUGGAUUAAGGGCUUGCUCUUAUGAAGUUAGCGGCGGACGGGUGAGUAACACGUGGGUAACCUGCCCAUAAGACUGGGAUAACUCCGGGAAACCGGGGCUAAUACCGGAUAACAUUUUGAACCGCAUGGUUCGAAAUUGAAAGGCGGCUUCGGCUGUCACUUAUGGAUGGACCCGCGUCGCAUUAGCUAGUUGGUGAGGUAACGGCUCACCAAGGCAACGAUGCGUAGCCGACCUGAGAGGGUGAUCGGCCACACUGGGACUGAGACACGGCCCAGACUCCUACGGGAGGCAGCAGUAGGGAAUCUUCCGCAAUGGACGAAAGUCUGACGGAGCAACGCCGCGUGAGUGAUGAAGGCUUUCGGGUCGUAAAACUCUGUUGCUAGGGAAGAACAAGUGCUAGUUGAAUAAGCUGACACCUUGACGGUACCUAACCAGAAAGCCACGGCUAACUACGUGCCAGCCGCCGCCGUAA
rnacentral:rRNA from 1 species